rnacentral:misc_RNA from 1 species
UGUAACUACCCGCGUGCUCCGGUGCGCGGGACGUCACAAACCCUUUGUCGUCCGACUCUGUUGCCUCGGGGGUGACCCUGCCUCCGGGCGGGGGCCCUCCGGUGGACCAUAUCAAACUCUUGCGUAACAAUGUCGUCUGAGUGAUUUACAAAAUAAAUCAAAACUUUCAACAACGGAUCUCUUGGUUCU